CCCUUAGAUGUCCUGGGCCGCACGCGCGUUACACUGAUGCAUUCAGCGAGCUUAUAACCUUGGCCGAGAGGCCUGGGCAAUCUUGUUAACGUGCAUCGUGAUAGGGAUAGAUUGUUGAAAUUAUUAAUCUUGAACGAGGAAUUCCUAGUAAACGCAGAUCAUCAAUCUGCAUUGAUUACGUGCCUGCCCUUUGUACACACCGCCCGUCGCACCUACCGAUUGGAUGGUCCGGUGAAGCCUCGGGAUUGUGGUUCUUGCCGCUUUAUUGUGGCGUGACCGCGAGAACUUGUCUAAACCUUAUCAUCUAGAGGAAGGUGAAGUCGUAACA
rnacentral:rRNA from 1 species